rnacentral:rRNA from 1 species
UACGUAGGGGGCGAGCGUUACCCGGAUUUACUGGGCGUAAAGAGCGUGUAGGCGGCUGGCUAAGUGUGAUGUGAAAUCUUCGGGCUUAACCCGAAAACUGCAUUGCGAACUGGUCUGGCUAGAGUGUGUGAGAGGGUAGUGGAAUUCCCGGUGUAGCGGUGAAAUGCGUAGAUAUCAGGAGGAACACCGGUGGUGUAAACGGCUUUCUGGACCAUAACUGACGCUGAGGCACGAAAGCGUGGGUAGCAAACAGG